UACGAAGGGGGCGAGCGUUGUUCGGAAUUACUGGGCGUAAAGGGCGCGUAGGCGGCCCCUUUUGUCGCGUGUGAAAGCCCCGGGCUCAACCUGGGAGGUGCGCGCGAAACGGGGGGGCUUGAGUUCGGGAGAGGAGAGUGGAAUUCCCAGUGUAGAGGUGAAAUUCGUAGAUAUUGGGAAGAACACCGGUGGCGAAGGCGGCGCUCUGGACCGAGACUGACGCUGAGGCGCGAAGGCGUGGGGAGCAACAGGG
rnacentral:rRNA from 1 species